CCUGGAAAACGGGUGGUAAUGCCGGAUGCUCCAGUUGAUCGCAUGGUUUUCUGGGAAAGCUUUCGCGGUAUGGGAUGGGGUCGCGUCCUAUCAGCUUGACGGCGGGGUAACGGCCCACCGUGGCUUCGACGGGUAGCCGGCCUGAGAGGGCGACCGGCCACAUUGGGACUGAGAUACGGCCCAGACUCCUACGGGAGGCAGCAGUGGGGAAUAUUGCACAAUGGGCGCAAGCCUGAUGCAGCGACGCCGCGUGAGGGAUGGAGGCCUUCGGGUUGUAAACCUCUUUUAUCGGGGAGCAAGCGAGAGUGAGUUUACCCGUUGAAUAAGCACCGGCUAACUACGUGCCAGCAGCCGCGGUAAUACGUAGGGUGCAAGCGUUAUCCGGAAUUAUUGGGCGUAAAGGGCUCGUAGGCGGUUCGUCGCGUCCGGUGUGAAAGUCCAUCGCUUAACGGUGGAUCCGCGCCGGGUACGGGCGGGCUUGAGUGCGGUAGGGGAGACUGGAAUUCCCGGUGUAACGGUGGAAUGUGUAGAUAU
rnacentral:rRNA from 1 species